rnacentral:rRNA from 1 species
AGUGAACGCUGGCGGUAGGCCUAACACAUGCCAGUCGAACGGCAGCACAGUAAGAGCUUGCUCUUACGGGUGGCGAGUGGCGGACGGGUGAGGAAUACAUCGGAAUCUACUUUUUCGUGGGGGAUAACGUAGGGAAACUUACGCUAAUACCGCAUACGACCUACGGGUGAAAGCAGGGGAUCUUCGGACCUUGCGCGAUUGAAUGAGCCGAUGUCGGAUUAGCUAGUUGGCGGGGUAAAGGCCCACCAAGGCGACGAUCCGUAGCUGGUCUGAGAGGAUGAUCAGCCACACUGGAACUGAAACACGGUCCAGACUCCUACGGGAGGCAGCAGUGGGGAAUAUUGGACAAUGGGCGCAAGCCUGAUCCAGCCAUACCGCGUGGGUGAAGAAGGCCCUCGGGUUGUAAAGCCCUUUUGUUGGGAAAGAAAAGCAGCAGGUUAAUACCCCGCUGUUCUGACGGUACCCAAAGAAUAAGCACCGGCUAACUUCGUG